AGCAGUAGCCACGGUAAUACGUAGGGUGCGAGCGUUAAUCGGAAUUACUGGGCGUAAAGCGUGCGCAGGCGGUUAUGUAAGACAGGCGUGAAAUCCCCGGGCUCAACCUGGGAAUGGCGCUUGUGACUGCAAAGCUAGAGUGCGGCAGAGGGGGAUGGAGUUCCGCGUGUAGCAGUGAAAUGCGUAGAUAUGCGGAGGAGCACCGAUGGCGAAGGCAAUCCCCUGGGCCUGCACUGACGCUCAUGCACGAAAGCGUGGGGAGCAAACAGGAUUAGAUACCCCCGUAGUCCCUGUCUCUUAUAC
rnacentral:rRNA from 1 species